GUCAUGUGCUAUUUUUUAACCCAAAUCUGAGGAAGUAGGUCGAACUGAACCAAAGGCAUUUACAUCAAAUUUGGAAUUUGUAGGUCAAGCACCUGCUGUACAUAGAACAACAAUUCAUUACAGCUUUGACUAUGCUGAGCAGGUCUUCUACCCAUACAAGGCACAUCAAGAGGGCACUGCUUUGAAGUGUUCUGUAAAUCAUAUGGUUCACAGAUAUUUAUCUCAGUGAUAAGGGUUUAGCUGUUAUGUGGUCAAUGGUGUGGUACCUCAUUUUCAACAUCAUCCAUAUGGAGAAGAAUCUGCAUAACUGUGUUGGGCGGAAUAAAAACAAUGCAGUCAUUAAGGUCUGAUGUAUUCUGAAGGGGCUACAUAGAGAAAUAGUAUUUACUUAAAUGGGAGCGGGUGACAUAAAGUUCUGUCCAGUCUGAGAUUUUGUCUGUAGAAGACCAAAUGGAGGCAGCACACAUCCUUUGUUGAUUGAUGACCUUGGCAAACUGGUUAUAUUCUUUGACUGGUUGGAGUACACCAAGAGACCCCUGAAGUCCAUUCCAAACUUGAGGAAAUAUCAUCACUUCAGAACUUUCGCUGACAACCCAGUGAGUGAAUUCAUGAGAGAGCAUGCCAAGGACAGUGAGAUUGAAGUUAAAAUUGACAAGCCCACAACAAUGGCUUUUCCAUGGAGAUUACCAUGAACGCAUCCAACUAAAAGGACUUGAUGCAAACAGGCUCUGAUCUCUUAAGUGAAAAAACUUUUCAAUAUACUGAUAUGUGAUCUUCAUAAACUAAAUCUAAGAUUUGAGAAUGAUCCAUUACUGAGCUGAUGAAAACGUGUAUCAAUUUUUUAUUGACAAUUAUUUAUUCAAUAGAAACAUGUUUAUGUGAAAUAAGGCUACCAGUGAUUUCGAGUGAUAAACUGUGGUUUUAGCAAAUGAGUGAUAGAAGGGUGCUGCACCCAGUCUUUUGUUGGUAGAACUCUUCUGCCAUAAUGGAGACCACUAUAUGAUUAUUAAUUAUUAAUACAAACUUAAAAAAAUCUGGCAGUUUAAGCCUAUAAAUGCUUGAAUUGAAGACAUUUAUAAUAUUGUUUGUCAAAAUUAGUUACUUCACAGCCUGAUAAAAUGUAUCUGAGCAACCUUUUUAUACACAUUUAAAGACAAAAACUGGUUUUGCUUCUCAAAUUGACUUAUUUGAUUCAAUGACAUUGGAAACAGCAAAUCUUUUGUGUUUAAUUCAUUUUAAUGGUUCAUAAUUACUCACCAGAGGAGAAUCCAAAGGAUAAAGGGAUGCUAAACAACACCAUAUAAAACACUUUUGGUGAAGAUUUCUUAUGUUUAGUAAACUUCGAUUGUGAAUAAGAGGCUUUGGUAACUCAACAAAACUAGACCCUGACACUUGUGAAUAGUUCACAGUGUGCACAGUUAUAUUUAAUACUUUUUUGAGAACCCACUCAGAGCUUUCUCUUAUGUACUUUUUAGAACUUUCAAACAUUUUUUGAAAUGCUUCAUGUAAAUUAUCUUCAUCAAAUGUUAUUAAAUUUAAACUUCUAUAAGUCCUUGAUCUAAAAUGUGGAGUUGAUGUGCUGCCUCCAUCUUCAACUAACUCGACCUGCACUGAUAAAUACCAUUUAAUAGGAUAAAAUUGAAGUCUUGUUUCUGAAAUGUUUUGAAUGUUUUUAUUUGCAUUAGCAAAAACUGCCAACAGAUCAUAUUGUUCUUAAAUGGUUUUCCACAAGUAUUACACCCAAAUCCAUUUUUAACCUUUUUAUCUCUGAUAUUCCUCAUAUUCAUGUGCAUAUUUUGAAGUAAGGUAAUCACUAAAACUUUGAUACUUCAUGUGGCCAUGCUUUUUCAAAAACAAUAUUUGAUCGUUUUACAAACUUUAUUUUCAUUGGAUUAUGCAUUGAUGACUGUUCCAAUUUUUCUUGAUGUAAAUGUUUAUUAUUCUCACUUCUUUAAAAUUCCUUCAUCAUAUGCUCAUAUUUUGAUUUUGGAAUCAACACUAGUUCUUGAGCCAUGACUCACAAGGUUGUAUUAUUAAAAUGAAUUGCUUAAAAUAUUUAAUGAGGAAAGCUUUUCUCUUCUUUUGUGAUAGUCCUUUUACUACAAACUUACGAAUGACAUUCCUAUAUCUUAUCAACGACAUUUUGAUAUUGGCUGAUAUUUUCAGGUUUUCCAUGAGAGUAUUGUUAACCACUUCCACAAUUACACAUGAGAUGUUGUUAAUGUUUUCAUCAACAUUUUUUGUCACACUCGUGUUUAAAAGAAAUUUUAAAAAUACUUUUCCUUUUCCAUUUUUUCACUCAUGUUUUUCUUUUUCAGAUCGAAAAACAGUCAGCGUCUGAGAUGGAAAUAUGUUGGUGCGCUAGUUUUACAAUUUGUUUGAAUGUGGACUUUCAUCAACUAUUAACAGCGAGGCUGGGAUUGGCACUCUACUCUAUCGAAUGGAUAUUUAGCUGUGCUGUUUUUCAACAACUCAGCGUGGGUAACGAUGAGAGCUGGAUUUACUCUCACCUUUUUUGCUAAUUUUUGUUGAACCAGUCUCCCAGAAACUCGCAACAGGCCAUUUUAGUGAAACUCACUAAAUUAGAAGAGCAAGGAUCAGUAAACCCCGAAACCUUAUGCGUCCACGAAAUACUGUAAAUAAUAGCAUUUACUGUUGAUGCUGACGGUGAAGAGCCCUUCAUGGAUGACAGAAAAAGCGCUACAUGAUAAUCGGAAGCUGGAAGCGGUUGAAAUUCAUAAUUUGUACACCAUAUGCAUAACGAUUUAAAUUAACAGUUGUAUUGUUUGAAAGUGUUGUCCGAUUUCGAAAGUUUCACUAGCGUUUGCAUUUUAUCAUGAUGUGUUUUAAGAUCAUCGGGCAGAGAUUCUUUGUGAAAAUUCCUCCAUAAUCCAACCUUGAAUGCAUCUGUCAAAUGUGCA